rnacentral:rRNA from 1 species
AGAGUUUGAUCCUGGCUCAGGACGAACGCUGGCGGCGUGCUUAACACAUGCAAGUCGAGCGAUGAAACUUCCUUCGGGAAGUGGAUUAGCGGCGGACGGGUGAGUAACACGUGGGUAACCUGCCUCAAAGUGGGGGAUAGCCUUCCGAAAGGAAGAUUAAUACCGCAUAAUAUGAGAGAAUCGCAUGAUUUUCUUAUCAAAGAUUUAUUGCUUUGAGAUGGACCCGCGGCGCAUUAGCUAGUUGGUAAGGUAACGGCUUACCAAGGCAACGAUGCGUAGCCGACCUGAGAGGGUGAUCGGCCACAUUGGAACUGAGACACGGUCCAGACUCCUACGGGAGGCAGCAGUGGGGAAUAUUGCGCAAUGGGGGAAACCCUGACGCAGCAACGCCGCGUGGGUGAUGAAGGUCUUCGGAUUGUAAAGCCCUGUUUUCUAGGACGAUAAUGACGGUACUAGAGGAGGAAGCCACGGCUAACUACGUGCCAGCAGCCGCGGUAAUACGUAGGUGGCGAGCGUUGUCCGGAUUUACUGGGCGUAAAGGGUGCGUAGGCGGAUGUUUAAGUGGGAUGUGAAAUCCCCGGGCUUAACCUGGGGGCUGCAUUCCAAACUGGAUAUCUAGAGUGCAGGAGAGGAAAGCGGAAUUCCUAGUGUAGCGGUGAAAUGCGUAGAGAUUAGGAAGAACACCAGUGGCGAAGGCGGCUUUCUGGACUGUAACUGACGCUGAGGCACGAAAGCGUGGGUAGCAAACAGGAUUAGAUACCCUGGUAGUCCACGCCGUAAACGAUGGAUACUAGGUGUAGGGGGUAUCAACUCCCCCUGUGCCGCAGUUAACACAAUAAGUAUCCCGCCUGGGGAGUACGGUCGCAAGAUUAAAACUCAAAGGAAUUGACGGGGGCCCGCACAAGCAGCGGAGCAUGUGGUUUAAUUCGAAGCAACGCGAAGAACCUUACCUGGACUUGACAUCCCUUGCAUAGCCUAGAGAUAGGUGAAGCCCUUCGGGGCAAGGAGACAGGUGGUGCAUGGUUGUCGUCAGCUCGUGUCGUGAGAUGUUAGGUUAAGUCCUGCAACGAGCGCAACCCUUGUUAUUAGUUGCUACCAUUAAGUUGAGCACUCUAAUGAGACUGCCUGGGUAACCAGGAGGAAGGUGGGGAUGACGUCAAAUCAUCAUGCCCCUUAUGUCCAGGGCUACACACGUGCUACAAUGGUAGGUACAAUAAGACGCAAGACCGUGAGGUGGAGCAAAACUUAUAAAACCUAUCUCAGUUCGGAUUGUAGGCUGCAACUCGCCUACAUGAAGCUGGAGUUGCUAGUAAUCGCGAAUCAGAAUGUCGCGGUGAAUACGUUCCCGGGCCUUGUACACACCGCCCGUCACACCAUGAGAGCUGGUAACACCCGAAGUCCGUGAGGUAACCGUAAGGAGCCAGCGGCCGAAGGUGGGAUUAGUGAUUGGGGUGAAGUCGUAACAAGGUAGCCGUAGGAGAACCUGCGGCUG